AGAGUUUGAUCCUGGCUCAGGAUGAACGCUAGCGGUGUGCUUAAUGCAUGCAAGUCGAACGGGAUCCUUUAGAUUCGUCUGAAGGUGAGAGUGGCGGACGGGUGAGUAACGCGUUGGUGACCUGCCCCAGAGAGGGGGACAACCAGUGGAAACGCUGGCUAAUACCCCGGAUGUCAAGGUAUUUAGAAAACCUUGACUAAAGCUUCGGCGCUCUGGGAGGGGCCUGCGUUCCAUCAGCUUGUUGGUAAGGUAAUGGCUUACCAAGGCUAAGACGGAUAGGGGACGUGAGAGCGUGACCCCCCACACUGGUACUGAAACACGGACCAGAUACCUACGGGUAGCAGCAGCAAGGAAUAUUGCCCAAUGGACGAAAGUCUGAGGCAGCAACACCGCGUGGAGGACGAAGGCCUUCGGGUCGUAAACUCCUUUUUCUGGGGGAAGAGAAUGGACGGUACCCCAGGAAUAAGGCCCGGCUAACUACGUGCCAGCAGCCGCGGUAAAACGUAGGGGUCAAGCGUUAUCCGGAUUUACUGGGCGUAAAGAGCAUGUAGGCGGUUGUUUAAGUCGGACGUGAAAGCUCCUGGCUCAACUGGGAGAUGCCGUUCGAAACUGAACAACUCGAGGACGGUAGAGGAGAGUGGAAUUCCCGGUGAAGUGGUGAAAUUCUUAGAUAUCGGGAGGAACACCAGUGGCGAAGGCGGCUCUCUGGGCCAUCCCUGACGCUGAGAUGCGAAAGCUAGGGGAGAGAACGGGAUUAGAAACCCCGGUAUUCCUAGCCGUAAACGAUGUCAACUAGGUGUAGGAGGUAUUGACCCCUUCUGUACUCAAGCUAACGCGAUAAGUUGACCGCCUGGGGACUACGGCCGCAAGGCUAAAACUCAAAGGAAUUGACGGGGACCCGCACAAGCAGCGGAGCGUGUGGUUUAAUUCGAGGCUACGCGAAGAACCUUACCAGGGUUUGACAUGACGGUGGUAGGAAGCCGAAAGGUAACCGACCCUUCGGGGAGCCGCCACAGGUGCUGCAUGGCUGUCGUCAGCUCGUGCCGUGAGGUGUUAGGUUAAGUCCUGUAACGAGCGCAACCCACGUCGUUAGUUAUACGUGUCUAACGAGACUGCCGGUGAUAAACCGGAGGAAGGUGUGGAUGACGUCAAGUCAGCAUGGCCUUUAUAUCCUGGGCUACACACACGCUACAAUGGCCGGUACAAUAGGUUGCGAAACCGCGAGGUGAAGCCAAUCCCCUAAAGCCGGUCUCAGUUCGGAUUGUAGGCUGCAACUCGCCUGCAUGAAGUCGGAGUUGCUAGUAAACGUGCGUCAGCACAGCGCGUUGAAUACGUUCCCAGGUCUUGUACACACCGCCCGUCACGUCAUGGAAGUUGGCAACGCCUGAAGUCGGUGGGCUAACCCUAACGGGAAGCAGCCGCCCAAGGCGGGGUCGGUAACUGGGACGAAGUCGUAACAAGGUA
rnacentral:rRNA from 1 species